CGCACCUUGCGCUCCCUGGUAUUCCGGAGAGCACGCCUGUUUGAGUGUCAUGGUAUUCUCAACCUCAGUAACAUUUUCUGUGUUGCUGAAGGCUUGGACUUGGAGGUCGUGCUGGCUCUUCUAGGGUCGGCUCCUCUUAAAUGCAUUAGCGUGCACAUUUAUGGAUCGCUAUCAGUGUGAUAAUUAUCUGCGCUGUUAGUGCUGAAGUAUCGUUGUUGUUUGCGCUUCUAGCUGUCCUUACCUCGGGACAAGACCAAUUACAUUUGACAUCUGACCUCAAAUCAGGUGGGAUUACCCGCUGAACUUAA
rnacentral:misc_RNA from 1 species